UACGUAGGGUGCAAGCGUUGUCCGGAAUUAUUGGGCGUAAAGAGCUCGUAGGCGGUUUGUUGCGUCGGCUGUGAAAUCCCGAGGCUCAACCUCGGGUCUGCAGUCGAUACGAGCAAACUAGAGUGUUGCAGGGGAGACUGGAAUUCCUGGUGUAGCGGUGAAAUGCGCAGAUAUCAGGAGGAACACCGGUGGCGAAGGCGGGUCUCUGGGCAUGAUCUGACGCUGAGGAGCGAAAGCGUGGGGAGCGAACAGG
rnacentral:rRNA from 1 species